AAGACCGCGUGGUAUCGUCGCAUCCACGCCGCUAGUACGACUCCGCAAAACCUUCGUGUCUGAUCCACUGAGACUACGUAAUGGAGGCGGCAGAUCGUUCCAGCACUUGGACGCGGCGAACCUGAAACUCCCGCGGAAGGCAGUAGUACGGUGACGCGGUAUUGCCAGUGAGUAAUACGUCGAGCGAGUUUUGUACGACUUCACGUCACGUGACCACACCAAUUUCUCAGCGAGAUACGGCGGCGUAUGAUGUUUCACUACACCAAACAAGAGCGUUGCAAGAUGUAGUUGUCUCCGUGCAUUCAUCUUCAUAAUAUUGGCAUUGUUUAUAAAUGGCGUGACGUGUGUGCGUGGUGGUAUAUUGAAGCAAAAUCGUGCGCAGGCAUUUUGAACUCUUUGUAUGAGUUUUUGUGACCGGGUAAGGAGUCGCGGACCAUAUACUACAUCCAUAUAGUUAAAUUUCGACAUAACGAGAGUGUCGCAAAGUUUGAUGCGGGUCUCAGUAUUAAUAUAGUUCCUGAUUUGGUAUAAUGUCUUGAGACGAUAAAAACAA